rnacentral:rRNA from 1 species
UACAGAGGGUGCAAGCGUUGUUCGGAAUUAUUGGGCGUAAAGGGCGCGUAGGCGGUGCGGUAAGUCUGUAGUGAAAUCUCCGGGCUUAACCCGGAAAGGUCAACUGAUACUGUGCGACUAGAGUGCGGAAGGGGCAACUGGAAUUCUCGGUGUAGCGGUGAAAUGCGUAGAUAUCGAGAGGAACACCUGCGGCGAAGGCGGGUUGCUGGGCCGACACUGACGCUGAUGCGCGAAAGCCAGGGGAGCGAACGGG